ensembl:misc_RNA Metazoa_SRP Metazoan signal recognition particle RNA
GCCAGGUGUGGUGGCUCAUGCCUGUAAUCCCAGCACUUUGGGAGGCCAAGGUGGGUGGAUCACCUGAGGUCAGGAGUUCUGGGCCAGCCUGGCCAACAUGGUGAAAACCCGUCUCUA